rnacentral:ncRNA from 1 species
UACGCUCGCCGAGCCUCCCGUGGGGGAAGUCCGGUGAGAGUCCGGCGCUGACCCGCAACGGUGUGCGUGGCGACCUGACGGUCCGUCACGCGAGUCCGAUCGCCCGCGGGGAGCACGCGACCCGU